AACGAACGCUGGCGGCAUGCCUAACACAUGCAAGUCGAACCAGACCUUCGGGUCUUGUGGCGCACGGGUGCGUAACGCGUGGGAACCUUCCCUUAGGUUCGGAAUAACUCCCCGAAAGGGGUGCUAAUACCGGAUAAUGUCUUCUGACCAAUGAUUUAUCGCCUUUGGAUGUGCUCGCGUUGGAUUAGCUUGUUGGUAGGGUAAAAGCAUACCAAGGCGACGAUCCAUAGCUGGUCUGAGAGGAUGAUCAGCCACACUGGGACUGAGACACGGCCCAGACUCCUACGGGAGGCAGCAGUGGGGAAUAUUGGAAAAUGGGCGAAAGCAUGAUCCAGCAAUGCCGGGUGAGUGAUGAAGGCCUUAGGGUUGUAAAGCUCUUUUACCCGGGAUGAUAAUGACAGUACCGGGAGAAUAAGCUCCGGCUAACUCCGUG
rnacentral:rRNA from 1 species